GAUACCGUAACUUCGGAAGAAGGUAUGCCUUUUUUGGUCACUGGACUUGCUCCAGGAAGCUGAAGAAGGCCACAGGUAAUCGGGGGCUGCGACUGUUUACCAAAAACACAGGACUCUGCGAACACGUAAGUGGAUGUAUAGGGUCUGACGCCUGCCCGGUGCCGGAAGGUUAAUUGAUGGGGUCAGCCGCAAGGCGAAGCUCUUGAUCGAAGCCCCGGUAAACGGCGGCCGUAACGAUAACGGUCCUAAGGUAGCGAAAUUCCUUGUCGGGUAAGUUCCGACCUGCACGAAUGGCGUAACGCUGGCCCCACUGUCUCGACCAGAGACUCAGUGAAGUUGAAAUCGCUGUGAAGAUGCGGCGUAGCUGCGGAAAGACGGAAAGACCCCGUGAACCUUUACUACAGCUUUACACUGAACUUUGAAUUUGUUUGUGUAGGAUAGGUGGGAGCCUUUGAAGCAGGGGCGCUAGCUCUUGUGGAGGCAACCUUGAAAUACCACCCUGAUAACUUCGGAGUUCUAACCUAGGUCCGUAAUCCGGACUGGGAACACUGUAUGGUGGGUAGUUUGACUGGGGCGGUCUCCUCCCAAAGAGUAACGGAGGAGUGCAAAGGUACCCUCAGCGCGGUCGGUCAUCGCGCUUUUGAGUGCAAUGGCAUAAGGGUGCUUGACUGCGAGACGUACAUGUCGAGCAGGAACGAAAGUUGGUCAUAGUGAUCCGGUGGUUCUGUAUGGAAGGGCCAUCGCUCAACGGAUAAAAGGUACUCCGGGGAUAACAGGCUUAUUCCUCCCAAGAGUCCACAUCGACGGAGGAGUUUGGCACCUCGAUGUCGGCUCAUCACAUCCUGGGGCUGUAGCAGGUCCCAAGGGUUCGGCUGUUCGCCGAUUAAAGUGGUACGCGAGCUGGGUUCAAAACGUCGUGAGACAGUUUGGUCCCUAUCUUCCGUAGCCGUUGGAGAUUUGAGGGUGAGUUGCUCCUAGUACGAGAGGACCGGAGUGAACGUAUCUCUGGUGUUCCGGUUGUCACGCCAGUGGCACUGCCGGGUAGCUAUAUACGGACGGGAUAACCGCUGAAAGCAUCUAAGCGGGAAGCCCCCCCCAAGACGAGAUCUCCCUGAGGACUUGAUCCUCCUGAAGGGCCCAAGAAGACUACUUGGUUGAUAGGCUGGGUGUGUACGCACAGCAAUGUGCUUAGCUAACCAGUACUAAUUGCCCGUGAGGCUUGACCG
rnacentral:rRNA from 1 species